AUGAAUCACAGGGCUGAAAACAAACUUUCUUACCUUGAGCAGUCAAGGAGCGGCAGGCAGAGGAGCGGGGUUUUUAAUUUAGCUCCCUGGCACCUGUCCCCGCUCCCCCUGCUGAAGGACCCCGCGCAGCUCCACGGAGAGGUCAAAGGAGACAGGCGAGAAUCCAAGAAAAGGAGAAGCUGGAGCGGCGCGCGCGCGAGCAAACAGGGAGGCUUUCAGUGAGGCUCCCGCAACCGACGCCGAACGGAGACACAAGCACCGAAACCGUCCCCGGGGGCCGCGGGCCGAGGGCCGGGGGCCGGGAGCCGCGGCCUGGCAGUCGGCGGGGCCCCGAGACAGCGCGGGGGGAAGGGCCCGGGACCCGGGGCCCGCCGAGGCCCGACGCGGUGACCGGGACGCCCUGGGCUCGCAGGCCUCCCGCCACCGCGUGGAGGCGCCCGGAGGGAGGCCCAGAGGAGGGGAGCGGGCCCCUGCCCCGCCCCCGGGAGGUCACCCUUUCCCUGACACCCCCCUAGUACAGCGCCUGGCGCAGGGCUGAGCACCCGGCAGCCGUUUCAGACGACCCUCGGUCCCUCGCACAUUCCAGCAAGUAGCCCUGGAAAGGAAGGCGCCCCCGCCAGUCCUUGGCCAUCGUACUUGGUUUUGUGGCCAGAAGGAAUCUCCUAGGGCACUUCCCCCGAACACCAGCCGGGCCAGUGUGCUGGGGUUCGCUGCCCACUCAGUUCCAGGGCCCUCGCUUUAUCCUCUCCCCGCUCGAGUUCAAGAUAGGCCUUCUUCCCGCGCAGACCCGACCAACAGCGCCUUAUUUGGGCAUGCAACCCCACACCGUCAAUUAGAUCAAAACGCUCACACGGAGCUCCUUCCCCCCCCCCCCCCACUAAAGUAGGUCAUUCUCUUUAUUUCCCACUUGUAUUAUUUUUGUCUAAUUCUCCUCCUGAAAAAUAAUCAGCUGCAAGGAACUUUGAGCAUCCUAAGAGAAGCCGUUAUUCUUAGGCUUGCUUUUCUGACUUGGAGGGCUUUUCAAGGAGGAGGAGGCAUUUGGCACGUGAUGGUUCUGAAGUCCCUCCCUUUCCAAGAGGGAAAAAAAAAAGAGUUACUUUAAUUAUUUAUUUAUUUAUUGGCUUUGUUUUUCUUCAGGCAAGAAGGCUUUGCCCUGCUCUUAAAGCAUGGUCCCAAUAUCUACUGAAGAAUAAAGUUACGUGCUUUUAACCUGAUUCAGUGUGGACUUUAAAGCCACCUCCCUUCCUUUCUUGCUUUAAAAGAGAUCCCAACUCCCUCCUCCUCCCUUUUGGGAACUAGUUGAACAAUUCUUAAGUGAUCUUUUUGUAGUGACCUACGGUAAUAAUGCAUUAAGUAGUUCUGCAGAGCAACAAAUGUUUUUGCUACUGUUUUUACCUGUUGCUCAGAGGAUAUCCUACCAAAUGUGUGGUCUCUGUCUUUUGAUAAUGGAGAUGAUGUAGAUAUAUGUAUAUAUGGUUGUAUAUAUAUAUGGUUGUUGCACUCAUUCCAGACUCCAUCUCAUCUCCUAGUGUUAAUCCUACUGGGUAGGACAUCUGUCUGACCAGAAUGGGAAGUGGAGUCUGCAGCAUGGAAUCCAAUCAGGACUCGGGGAGGUGGGGUCCUCAGAAGAAUGUGCCCUCCAAAAUGUAGAGAGUCAAAGUGGAAAAUUUACCUUCUGUUCCUUCCAUGCAUGUGACAGUUCAGCUCCUUUUAUUGGCAUUUGUUGACGGCUUUCAUGAGUCAGGCUGGGCUUGGCCUGUGAGGGAUCAAGGGAAAGUUUAUGGUAGUUUCAGUACAAGAAGGAUUUACAGGGUAGAGGCAAGGAUAAAAUGUGGCCAAAUAGGGCUAGUGGCAAAAGACAAAAAUGCCAUGCGGGUUCAAAGGAAGGAAUCAGGAUGGGCUUCUUGAAGGAGAUGACAUUGAUGCUAGAGUUUUUCAUCAACUAGAUAACAAAGUCAAACUAGAUCAUAAUCUCCACAAUAUUUGAAAUGGGCAGCAUGGGCAAAGAACCAUUUCAAAAUUACAUUGCCAAUUUGGGGAAAUUCUCAAGUUUCGUGUAGUCAGUACUUUAAAAGAACUUGGCUUUACUCAUUGAAUGCUGCAAUGGUGUAUCCAGGAACCUCAGAUAUUUUUUAAAGAAUCAAAAUUUAUGGAGAGGAAGAUCAAAAUUUUAAAUUGCAAUUAUACCGAUCUUCGAAGAUCAACGAAACAAUUCAGUUUUGCAACCUAACUGGGAGUUCUUUUCCAUCACAAAAGUUGAAUCUGUGGCCUACCCUAAUUUAAAACAUUUAGCCAAUUAAAGUCUCAAAAUACAUACACUAUAGGUGUCCAUAUGUGGUGCUACAUACAGGCAAGAAUGUGUGGGCUAUUCCAAUUAUUACAGCACUAGCUCAAGGCGUGGGGCCCAUAUUAGGUAUGUAUAGUCAGUAAAUGAAAUAGAAACUUUAGGAUAGACAACAAGAACAAUUCUAUGCCAGAUGACAUCAUCACAGUUUUUCUGAAUAAUCAUAGGAUAGAGGGCCUGCUUUCUUUUUUAAAGGGGUGUCCAGAAGCUCCUUUAUGGAUUUUUAACUCUAAGUAGCAGUUUUCACUUUCCAAUGAAAAGAAAAAGAGGGGCACCUGGGUGGCUCAGUGGUUGAGCAUCUGCCUUUGGCUCAGGUCAUGAUCCCCAGGUCCUGGGAUCGAGUCCCACAUCAGGCUCCCCAUGGGGAGCCUGCUUCUCCCUCUGCCUAUCUCUCUACCUCUCUCUGUGUGUCUCUCAUAAAUAAGUAAAGAAAAUCUUCAAAAAAAAAAAAAAGAAAAGAAAAGAAAGAAAGAAAACACAAGACCAGGCAGGCACCAUUAAGUAGGGUGAAAAUAUUAGGGAAGAGAACCGUUGCAACUGAGACAGAAGGGCAAGAGGGGUCAGUAUAAAGAUGAAGAAGAGGCCUCAGAGCCUGGUAACCAGAGACCAAAUGACUCAGAGUCCAGGACUAAUGGCUGCCUAUAGAAGGAAGAUUCCAGAAUAUCCACCUUGUGAUUGAAAUAUCAGGUUGGAAUUUGAACACUUUGUUUCUGCAGAAGUUCCACAGGGUGAAAGUGCAGGGUGGUGAUUUGCAGUGAUUUGUUCACUGUGGCAGGCUCCCUUGCAGGCCUGAGGAUGUUACCAGGAGACAAUCAACGCCUUGUGUAGCCCGCCUGGUAGGGUGAAGACUUGGCACCUGUGCCUAUUAGAUCAUGUGGUUGGAAAACCAAAGAAUGAAGUAAGAUUUCCUUACAAAAUUGGUGUGGAGGACCUGGGGAGGAAGUGUGGGCUGGAGCAGUCUGGAGGUGACAAAGCCCCAAAGCCUCAGCCAGUUCCCACCAGUUAGUAGCAUUGCUUCUGGAACCACAGGAGAAAAUAAUACAUGUGAAUGUGCAUGCAUCAAAACACACGCAACACACACACACACACACACACACAUCUGAAACAGAUGUGAUAAGACUAUUGGCGAUAUGGGCACUUGAGAAUAAUCUUUCCUUUAAGCUCCCUGAGGAAGGCCCUUUAUGUACAUCUCCUCUAAUAUUGAAUUUUGAUUUUAGGUCCUAUUUCUUUGUCUUCUAAAGAGAAUCUUAAAAAAAAAAAUCUUUAUUUUUUAGAGCAGUUUUAUGUUCACAAUAAAAUAGGUCAGGAAGUACCAAGUUGGCAUAUAUUCCCUGAUUCCCUCUCCCCAGCCUCCCAGACCAUCAACAUUCCCCAACAGAGUAGGACAUUUGUUACAAUCAAUGAACCUCCACUGACACAUUACGGACAUUAUCACCCAAAGCCCGUAAUUUACAUUAGGGUUCACUCUUGGUGUUGUGCAGUCAGUGGGUUUGGACAGUGCAUAAGGACCUGCAUCUACCAUUAGGUAUCAUACAGAGUAUUUUCCACUGCCCUAAAAAUCCUCUAUACUCCACCUAUUCAUCCUCCCCACUGAUCCUCCCCUGCCAGUUACUGAUCUCCUUACUGUCUCCAUAGUUUUGCCUUUUCCAGAAUGUCAUAUAGUCACAUAGUAGGCAGCCUUUCAGAUUGGCUUCUUUCACUUAGUAAGAAGCAGUUGAGUUUCCUCCAUGUCUUUUUAUGGCUCCAUAGCUCAUCUCUUUUUAGCACUGAAUAACAUUCCAUUGUCUGCAUAAGAGGUUUUUUUUUUUUAAA
rnacentral:lncRNA from 1 species